rnacentral:tRNA from 1 species
GGAGUUGUAGCUCAGUGGUAGAGCACUUGCCUAGCACAUAUGAGGCACUCAAUUCCA